rnacentral:lncRNA from 12 species
AGGACACUCAUAUACGGUAGCUGGUAAGAAUCAACCUAACAAGAAGGAGCUCCUAACAGGAGGAUAGCAAUUAAACAUGAAAAUCAUAUUCCAGAUUCUAUGGGUUCUGAGCAUUUGCUUCUCGGCCAGUCAGAGUCAAGAAAAGAAUAAUGGAUUCAAUCAAAGACGACAGUUGCAUUCAUCUGGUCGAGAUCUAGCUCGAUCACAAUCUGCUAAAGCCAAGCCUCUUCCAAAUUCAAAUCCACCAAGAUCCAUCUUGCCUCAGUAUCACCAAAACUUAGCUAGCCAGUCACUAAGCAGAUCAACCAAUUCAAAGUUACUUCCUCCUAAAAAGCAACUUCCUUUAAAGUCAUCUAUCCCAAAAAAACUAGCAAAACUACAAACUCAUUCAAAUAAAGCUAGCCAACCAAAACUAGGUCCAACUGAGAACAGUUCAAAAACUCAAAGUAGGUCUAGGCAGUCACAAGUUUACCAAAAUAACUCUAUUCAAAAAAGGCCUCAUUUCAAGUCAACUAUUCACAAUAGACCCCAUUCAUUACAUCCUGGUCAAUUACGGUACUCUAAGAAACAGCCUCAAAAAUCCCAAUCUCCUCCAAAUCCAUCUGUUAAAAAAGUGAUAAAGCCAUUCAAAUCUCUUUCAAAUACAGCCCUUCAGCAAAAACCUCAACUAACGAAGCAUAAUCCUAAUUCACACACUCUACAAAAAGCUAGCCUAAACAAGCCACAACCUAAUAAAUUUGUUAAAAGAAGAACCAGACAAAGAAAGCCUAAUUCAAAAGCACUUGUCCAAAAUAUACCAAGCCACACCAAAACUCAUCUAGAAGCACCUGGUGGAAGAAAACGUAUACAGCCGCUCAAUCCAAGAAAAUGUCUACAACCAUCUAGUCAAGGAAGACGUCCACAGUCAUCUAAUCGAAGACAACACCCACAUCCGCUUGGUCAAAAAAUACCAAAUCCACUAAUUAAAGUACCCAGACAAAUUAAGGCCACACAUUGUAUUAGGCCACACAUUCAAAACAAACCUGAAUCACACCACUAUCAUCCACAUGUACAUCUUUCUCCAGACAACCCAUAUCCAUCUCCCUUCAUUCCCAGCCUGAAACCUCAGGUGCAACCAACUAGCAAAGUGGUAAGCACCAGAACCCAAGUCUUAAACACAACUCCGUUUGCUGCCAUUGCCACCACAACUCCCCACUACACUAUCAGCUCCAACACAACCUCAGCUACAACCACAAACAAAAUAUCAUCUGAUCUCAUCUUCAAAAGUACAACUCCUUCUGAUAUCACAGUUUCCAGUCCUAAAACCCAAGUUCCAGUUACCAUUCCACUCACUGCUGCAACCACGUCUAAUGCUCCAACUACCGAGAUUUCACCUCCCCUUGUUACUGCCACUACUCUUCCUGCCACCAUGCAAACAACUCCUUUUACCAUACAUACCAUACUCAAGAUGACCACUGAGUCAGGAUAUGAAACAACAGAACUUCCCUACAGCAGCACUAACCCUGAUAAUAACUACAUAUAUGAAACUACAGAAUCUUAUUACUAUGAUGAAUUUGAUGUCUCUAAUUCUGAAAUUACAGCAUCCACCUAUACCACUCCAAAACCUGCCUCUACCACCAACUAA